GACAGAGGGUGCAAACGUUGCUCGGAUUUACUGGGCGUAAAGCGCGUGUAGGCGGGCGACUAAGUCGGAUGUGAAAUCCCUGGGCUCAACCUAGGAACUGCAUUCGAAACUGGUCACCUAGAGUGAUGGAGAGGAAAGCGGAAUUCCCGGUGUAGAGGUGAAAUUCGUUAGAUAUCGGGAGGAACACCAGUGGCGAAGGCGGGCUCACUGGCUCGUAACUGACGCUCAUGCACGACAGCGUGGGGAUCAAACAGG
rnacentral:rRNA from 1 species